AGAAGAAGAAAGGCCACAACAACAACAAGGAAUAAACGAUGGAGAUCUUUACCUCACUAUUGCAGAGACAUACAAGACUGAUGUGAGAGUCCAAACCUGGCCCUGCCAGCAAGACAAGCCAUACUGCGAACAAAAUCAACCCCAAGUGAUCAAUAUUAAAUCUGUAAAAGCUAAUCUGGGUAACGGGGAGGUUAAGUGGACGGCCGGUGUUGAUCAUUCCAAGUGGUGUGUAGCUAAAGAUAAUAACAAUCAUUUGAUCUGUAUCGCUGAUGUAAACAGAGCACUCAGCCAAUACAAAAGGCCGGGGGGCGGGCUGUGCUUUGUCCAUCAACAGGUGAGUGAACUAUUUAAAGGUGUAAUUGAUCAAACUGAGGAUUGCUCCAGUAAGCUCCCCCGUGUCUCGGACCCUGACUGUGACCCUGAUGCUGGAUCACUGAGUGAUGGGAUAAAUAAGCCUCUCCCUUUGAGUCCACUUUUGUUUGGGUCUCUGUGUGCUUUGGUUUAUCAUUUUCAAAUGAUUAUAAAUUGACAUUUCUGAAUCCAUAGUUUAA